rnacentral:rRNA from 1 species
CCUACGGGAGGCUGCAGUGGGGAAUAUUGCACAAUGGGGGAAACCCUGAUGCAGCGACGCCGCGUGAAGGAAGAAGUAUCUCGGUAUGUAAACUUCUAUCAGCAGGGAAGAAAAUGACGGUACCUGACUAAGAAGCCCCGGCUAACUACGUGCCAGCAGCCGCGGUAAUACGUAGGGGGCAAGCGUUAUCCGGAAUUACUGGGUGUAAAGGGUGCGUAGGUGGUAUGGCAAGUCAGAAGUGAAAACCCAGGGCUUAACCCUGGGACUGCAUUGGAAACUGUCUGGCUCGAGUGCCGGAGAGGUAAGCGGAAUUCCUAGUGUAGCGGUGAAAUGCGUAGAUAUUAGGAAGAACACCAGUGGCGAAGGCGGCUUACUGGACGGUAACUGACGUUGAGGCUCGAAAGCGUGGGGAGCAAACAGGAUU